GACGGAGGGCGCGAACGUUGUUCGGAAUCAUUGGGCGUAAAGAGCGUGUAGGCGGCCCGAUAAGUCCGCCGUGAAAGUCCAGGGCUCAACCCUGGGAUGCCGGUGGAAACUGUCGGGCUAGAGUCCGGAAGAGGCGAGUGGAAUUCCUGGUGUAGCGGUGAAAUGCGCAGAUAUCAGGAGGAACACCGAUGGCGAAGGCAGCUCGCUGGGACGGUACUGACGCUGAGACGCGAAAGCGUGGGGAGCGAACAGG
rnacentral:rRNA from 1 species